rnacentral:lncRNA from 1 species
UGUAAACCAACUGCAUAAACUUAUGCAACUAUUGCUGACUGGAUUAAUUCACUUUAGAGUAAAUGUGAACAACUGUUUUUAGAAUUGUUUCCCAUUUGAUAAAUACACUGGAAAUUUUACCCAAGAGACCAAAUGAAGCUUUACAUUCCAAAACUUUAAUGUCAAUUAAGCAGCCUUUUCACUUGAUAUAAACUCACAUACCCAGGAACACUGUGGGCUCAGAACAUUAUUUCACAAGCAGGUAUUGCUGGCACGUUGUUUGUGUCACGUUUAGAUUCCGAUUAAAUGACAUCAUUUUGUUCCUCAGAUCCUGACAUACACAAUGAAAGUAUUUGAAAGUUACAUAACCAGUUGCACUUAAUGAGUCAUCCUUUGUCAAUAUUAGAAUGAGGGAACCAGGAUAUGACUAGGAAGAGACUCAAGGGGUAAAAUCUGAAGAUUCUGUCCCAUACCUCUGCAGAAUCAUGGACCCCCACAGAGGACUUAGGGGAGGGGCUCAGAAGCAAAGGGCUGUUUUGAAAAUAGUUUGAUUUUGACACAAUGAUUUGCAGACAAGCCCAGCCACCGUGGAGAAAAGAUAGAGAAUGAAGAAGUUCCAAAUGGCUAAGAUGAACAUGAACUUCUAAACAGAAUGAAAGCUCUAGGAUUAUGUCCACUUUAAGAAGUCUGCUGGUGAUAUCUGGCUUUAGAGGCAGUUCCUGUCCAAAUGGGAAAAAACAGUGCACUUGGACUUCAGAGUCAAGGGAGCUAUAUUUGAGCCAGAGUUCUACUAUGGCAGGGGUCCCCAGCUCCUGGGCCAUGGACUGGUACCAGUCCGUGGCCUGUUAGGAACCGGACCACACAGCAAGAGGUG